GGAGGGGCGCAAGCGGUUGUUCGGAAUCAUUGGGCGUAAAGCGCGUGUAGGCGGCUUCGGGCAAGUCGGGGUGUGAAAGACCCGGGGCUCAAACCCCGGAAUUGCACUCGAUACUGCCCUCGCUAGAGUCCCGGAGAGGGUGGCGGAAUUCCCGGUGUAGAGGUGAAAUUCGUAGAUAUCGGGAGGAACACCAGCGGCGAAGGCGGCCACCUGGACGGUGACUGACGCUGAGACGCGAAAGCGUGGGGAGCAAACAGGAUUAGAUACCCUGGUAGUCCACGCCGUAAACGUUGGGUGCUAGGCGCUGCGGGUAUUGACCCCUGCAGUGCCGACGUUAACGCAUUAAGCACCCCGCCUGGGGAGUACGGUCGCAAGAUUA
rnacentral:rRNA from 1 species